rnacentral:rRNA from 1 species
UAGGGAAUUUUCCGCAAUGGGGGGAACCCUGACGGAGCAACGCCGCGUGAAUGAAGACGGCCUUCGGGUUGUAAAGUUCUGUAACUGGGGAAGAAGAAGGGUUCGCAAGAACCUGUGACGGUACCCAGGGAGUAAGCCCCGGCUAACUACGUGCCAGCAGCCGCGGUAAUACGUAGGGGGCAAGCGUUGUCCGGAAUAAUUGGGCGUAAAGGGCGAGCAGGCGGUAAAUUAAGUCAGGUGUGAAAGGCUGGGGCUCAACCCCAGAGCUGCACAUGAAACUGGUUUACUUGAGAGCAGGAGAGGGGAGUGGAAUUCCCGGUGUAGCGGUGGAAUGCGUAGAUAUCGGGAGGAACACCAGUGGCGAAGGCGACUCCCUGGCCUGGGACUGACGCUGAGGCGCGAAAGCGUGGGGAGCAAACAG